rnacentral:lncRNA from 1 species
GUUCUAAUCUCAUAUGCCAGCCCUGAUUAACUGACCACCCCUGGGGCACUUUGGCUGGAACAAAGUUAGAGAACCGCUCAUCAAAAGCG